rnacentral:rRNA from 1 species
UACAGAGGGGGCAAGCGUUGUUCGGAAUUACUGGGCGUAAAGGGCGCGUAGGCGGCCUUCUAAGUCGAACGUGAAAUCCCCGGGCUCAACCCGGGAACUGCGUCCGAUACUGGAAGGCUUGAAUCCGGGAGAGGGGAUGCGGAAUUCCAGGUGUAGGCGGUGAAAUUGCGUAGAUAUCUGGAAGGAACACCGGUGGCGAAGGCGGCAGUCCUGG